AUGGCGAAAAAUGUGUAUUAAAGUCCAAAUGGCUUCGUAACGUAGUCCACAAUACAUCAAGUAAGGCCUCAAAAACUCUCAUAGUAAGGCGUCAAAAAAUGCCAUAGCAUAGUAAGUCAUCAAAAUCAGUCCAAAAAAUGUCAUAAUAUAGUAAGGCGUCAGAAAAUUUAAUAAUAUAGUAAGGUGUGAAAAAAUGUCAUAGUAUAGUAAACUGUCAAAGGUCGAAUUGUGAAAUAAUAAUUCUGUAUGUGUCUGUGCUGGAAGAAAUAAUCAGACUUUACUGAAGUAUAAUAAAGAACACAAGUUAAAAUCUGGCAUUCAAAGAUUUAUUUAAUUGACAGUGUUUAUUAUUGUUGUGCAGUUCACAGUAACAUACAUCAUUGCUUCAGUGAUUAGUUGAUAGACACACAAUUAAUAAUCAUUUUACUUUUUCCCAAGUAAUUGUUGUUCUUAGUUACUUCAGGAGGUGAUGAUAGCCAAUGGUUCAUUUUCUGAAACAGCCCUCUAAUGUUUGGAAAGCUGUUGAAUAUUUAUCUGUGUUUUCAUGGUUAAACUGUUGAUGAGGAGUAGGUAGUAGUGUAUUGAUCAUUUUCCUUCAUAUGUUUCUAUUUGAUCUCCUCCAGGUGUCACCACUUUGUCCACGACGGCAGAGACAUGGUCCAUGAUCGGAGAGACAUUGUUGAGGAUGAGGGAGACAUCGUCCACAAUCAGAGACAUUGUCUAUGAUCGCAGAGACCUUGUCAAAGAUGAGAGAGACGUUGUCCGUGAUCAGAGACAUUGUCCAUGCUUCGUAGAGACCUUGCGAUAGAAUCGGCGGAGACGGGGGUCACCGAUUUGACGGCAUUGCCCGCGAUCAGGGACAUUGUCGAUGACCACAGAGACACCGUCUAUGAUCUCAGAGACAUCGUCCACGAUCACAAAGACAUAGUCCAUGAUCGCAGAGACAUUGUCCAUAAUCUCAGAGACAUUGUCCGCGAUCACAGAGACGUAGUCCACGAUCACAGAGAUGUAGUUCAAGAUCACAGAGAGUCUUCGUACAAUGAAGAAGUUCUUUCAGACCAGGACAGAGGCCUCCAGGUGUCACCACUUUGUCCACGACGGCAGAGACAUGGUCCAUGAUCGGAGAGACAUUGUUGAGGAUGAGGGAGACAUUGUCCACGAUCAGAGACAUUGUCUAUGAUCGCAGAGACCUUGUCAAAGAUGAGAGAGACGUUGUCCGUGAUCAGAGACAUUGUCCAUGCUUCGUAGAGACCUUGCGAUAGAAUCGGCGGAGACGGGGGUCACCGAUUUGACGGCAUUGCCCGCGAUCAGGGACAUUGUCGAUGACCACAGAGACACCGUCUAUGAUCUCAGAGACAUCGUCCACGAUCACAAAGACAUAGUCUAUGAUCGCAGAGACAUUGUCCAUAAUCUCAGAGACAUUGUCCGCGAUCACAGAGAUGUAGUCCAAGAUCACAGAGAGUCUUCGUACAAUGAAGAAGUUCUUUCAGACCAGGACAGAGGCCUCCAGGUGUCACCACUUCGUCCACGACAUCGUCCACAAUCGCAAAGACAUGGUCCAUGAUCAGAGAGACAUUGUUAAGGAUGAGGGAGACACUGAAGUUCUUUGAGACCAGGACAGAGACCUCCAGGAGGAGAGGACUGCAUCACCUGAAGAGGAUAACAAAAGUAGUUAGAUGUUUAGAGCUGUAUAAGUCUUUAACAAGUUUACCCUGAAGUGUGCUCAUCAUUCAAUGUGUGACAAGACUAAAAAAAGUGCCUCCAAGUGGUCAAACACCUGUCAUUCGCUGUGUUUUGUCAACUCUUGUCUUGAACAGAAUCAAUAAAGUUCUGUAGUGAAACUUGAGUUGAGAUUCUGUAUUUUCGAAAAAUUAAGUUCUAUCCGCUGGCUACAAAUAUUCCCUUUCCAUAGAAGGUGGCUCUAACCAGCUCUAACAAAUG